UGGCCGUAAACGAUGUGGACUUGGUGUUGGAAUGGCUCCGAGCUGCUCCAGUGCCGAAGGGAAGCUGUUAAACUCGCUGCCUGGGGAGUACGGUCGCAAGGCUGAAACUUAAAGGAAUUGGCGGGGGGAGCACCACAACGGGUGGAGCCUGCGGUUUAAUUGGACUCAACGCCGGAAAUCUUACCGGGACCGACAGCAACAUGAAGGCCAGGCUGAAGACUUUGCCGGAUUAGCUGAGAGGUGGUGCAUGGCGUAGUCGUGU
rnacentral:rRNA from 1 species